GGGGACCAUCCUCCAAGGCUAAAUACUCGUGAUCGACCGAUAGCGUACCAGUACUGUGAAGGAAAGGUUAAAAGAACCCCGGGAGGGGAGUGAAAUAGAUCCUGAAACCGCAUACAUACAAACAGUAGGAGCCUCGUUAAGGGGUGACUGCGUACCUUUUGCAUAAUGGGUCAGCGACUUACGUUUAAUGGCGAGCUUAACCGUAUAGGGGAGGCGCAGCGAAAGCGAGUUCGAACAGAGCGUUCAGUCGUUAGGCGUAGACCCGAAACCAGAUGAUCUAUCCAUGGCCAGGUUGAAGGUGUGGUAACACACACUGGAGGACCGAACCGACUAGUGUUGCAAAAUUAGCGGAUGAGCUGUGGAUAGGGGUGAAAGGCUAAACAAAUCUGGAGAUAGCUGGUUCUCCCCGAAAACUAUUGAGGUAGUGCCUCGUGUAUGACUCCAGGGGGUAGAGCACUGUUAUGGCUAGGGGGACAUGGCGUCUUACCAAACCAUGGCAAACUCCGAAUACUUGGAAGUUUGAGCACGGGAGACAGAGCACCGGGUGCUAACGUCCGGACUCAAGAGGGAAACAACCCAGACCGCCGGCUAAGGUCCCUAAUAUUGACUAAGUGGAAAACGAAGUGGAAAGGCUAAGACAGUCAGGAAGUUGGCUUAGAAGCAGCCAUCCUUCAAAGAAAGCGUAAUAGCUCACUGAUCGAGUCUUUCUGCGCGGAAGAUGUAACGGGGCUAAGUCAAUAACCGAAGCCGCGGAUUCACACUUAUGUGUGAGUGGUAGGGGAGCGUUCUGUAAGCCUGCGAAGGUGACUCGUAAGGGUUGCUGGAGGUAUCAGAAGUGCGAAUGCUGACAUGAGUAACGUUAAAGCGGGUGAAAAGCCCGCUCGCCGUAAGCCCAAGGUUUCCUGCUCUACGUUCAUCGGAGCAGGGUGAGUCGGCCCCUAAGGUGAGGCUGAGAAGCGUAACUGAUGGGAACAAGGUUAAUAUUCCUUGACCACCGCUGAAUGCGAAGGGGGGACGGAGUAUUGAAGAUCAUCCGGGUGUUGGAUAUCCCGGUUUGCGAGCGUAGGAGGCUGACAGGCAAAUCCGUCAGCGAAUCUCCGAGGCAAAGCAUCGAGCUCUCUUUUGAGCGAAGUGAUUGGAUGUGCUUCCAGGAAAAGCCUCUAAGCUCCAGUUCAGCGGGACCGUACCGCAAACCGACACUGGUGGGCGAGCUGAAUAUGCUCAGGCGCUUGAGAGAACUCAGGAGAAGGAACUCGGCAAAUUGACACCGUAACUUCGGGAUAAGGUGUGCCUUUGUAGCGUGGAGGGAGAAACACCCCGAGCGCGAAGAGGUCUCAGAUAAUCGGUGGCUGCGACUGUUUAUUAAAAACACAGCACUCUGCAAAGACGAAAGUCGACGUAUAGGGUGUGAUGCCUGCCCGGUGCUGGAAGAUUAAUUGAUGGGGUGCAAGCUCCUGAUCGAAGUCCCAGUAAACGGCGGCCGUAACUAUAACGGUCCUAAGGUAGCGAAAUUCCUUGUCGGGCAAGUUCCGACCUGCACGAAUGGCAUAACGAUGGCCACACUGUCUCCUCCUGAGACUCAGUGAAGUUGAAGUGUUUGUGAUGAUGCAAUCUCCCCGCGGCUAGACGGAAAGACCCCAUGAACCUUUACUGUAGCUUUGCAUUGGACUUUGAACCGAUCUGUGUAGGAUAGGCGGGAGCCUGUGAAACCACAACGCCAGUUGUGGCGGAGGCGUCCUUGAAAUACCGCCCUGAUUUGUUUGAGGUUCUAACCUGGGACAGUCAUCCUGUCCGGGGACCGUGCAUGGUAGGCAGUUUGACUGGGGCGGUCUCCUCCUAAAGGGUAACGGAGGAGUGCGAAGGUACGCUAGGUACGGUCGGAAAUCGUGCUGAUAGUGCAAUGGCAAAAGCGUGCUUGACUGCGAGACCCACAAGUCGAGCAGAUACGAAAGUAGGUCAUAGUGAUCCGGUGGCUCUGUAUGGAAGGGCCAUCGCUCAACGGAUAAAAGGUACUCUGGGGAU
rnacentral:rRNA from 1 species